AAUGAACGCUGGCGGCAGGCCUAACACAUGCAAGUCGAACGGAUCCUUCGGGAUUAGUGGCGGACGGGUGAAUAACGCGUGGGAACAUACCCUUUGGUACGGAAUAGCCUCGGGAAACUGGGAGUAAUACCGUAUGUGCUCUUCGGAGGAAAGAUUUAUCGCCAAAGGAUUGGCCCGCGUUGGAUUAGGUAGUUGGUGGGGUAAUGGCCUACCAAGCCGACGAUCCAUAGCUGGUUUGAGAGGAUGAUCAGCCACACUGGGACUGAGACACGGCCCAGACUCCUACGGGAGGCAGCAGUGGGGAAUCUUAGACAAUGGGGGAAACCCUGAUCUAGCCAUGCCGCGUGAUCGAUGAAGGCCUUAGGGUUGUAAAGAUCUUUCAGUGGGGAAGAUAAUGACGGUACCCACAGAAGAAGCCCCGGCUAACUCCGUGCCAGCAGCCGCGGUAAU
rnacentral:rRNA from 1 species